AUACAAGCCCAUAAUGGUGCUGUUUUUGUUGUUGGCAUGGAAGGGAAAUGGUUGUUCACAGGAGGUUGGGACAAGAGUGUCAAUGUACAGGAGAUAUCAGGAGAUGAUCUUCAAAUAGAAGCAUUGCCAGUUGGAUCUAUUGCUUCCGACUCCACUGUAACUGCAUUGUUAUACUGGCAAAGAAAGCUUUUUGUUGGCUGUGCUGAUAGAAUUAUCAAGGUGUAUUCUGGGCAGUGAUGGAAGCAUCACUUAAGAAGAUGUUAACCAAACUCAAUACGUUGGUGAAGCUGCCAAGGGUGAUGGGUCCAUUACUGAGAUGAAAAUGGGGGAAGGAAAAACCUUGGUUUCCACAUUAGCAGCCUAUCUCAAUGCCCUCACUAGUGAGGGUGUUCAUGGAGUAGGACAAGAGAAUUGAAGAACUGACAGCAGAGUUGGAAAAUGCAAGUCAGAGGUGUAAGGCAUAUCGAGCCAGUUUGCUUGCUGCUUUGAAAGAUAUGGAGGGAGAGAAACUAAAGAUAGCAGUGAAAGUUCAUAACACAAGGCUGAAUCUCAAAGGUUGAACUCAGAGAGAUGGUGGGCGUGCCUUAUCCGUCAUCGCCUUCAUCAUGUAUACUACAAAAAUAGCAGAAACCAAAGAGUGUGAGUUGGGUUGGU